CGAUGGUAAGGUAGUGUCUUACCAUGGUGGCAACGGGUAACGGACCGUGGGUGCGGGACUCCGGAGAGGGAGCCUGAGAAACGGCUACCACAUCCAAGGAAGGCAGCAGGCGCGUAAAUUACCCAAUCCAGACUCUGGGAGGUAGUGACAAGAAAUAUCAAUAGGGGACCUAUAAGGUCUUCUAAUUGGAAUGAGAACAAGCUAAACAGCUUAUCGAGAAUCCAGCAGAGGGCAAGUCUGGUGCCAGCGGCCGCGGUAAUUCCAGCUCUGUAAGCGUAUACCAAAGUUGUUGCAGUUAAAACGCUCGUAGUCGGACUUUGGCAAUUCCGGAUGUGUGCGCGUCGUGCGCGCACUUUGCAGGGGUUGCUUUUGUGGGUAUGCGUGGGAUGAUGCGACUUUAUUGUCGAACGUCCCUACGCAACCACCUUUUACUGUGAGAAAAUUAGAGUGUUCAAAGCAGGCAAUUGCCGUGAAUACAUUAGCAUGGAAUAAUAGAAUAGGACUCGGUCUUAUUUUGUUGGUUUGUUAGGGCUGAGUAAUGAUUAAGAGGGACAGUUGGGGGCAUUUGUAUUCAGGCGCUAGAGGUGAAAUUCUUAGAUUGCUGGAAGACAAACUGCUGCGAAAGCGUCUGCCAAGGAUGUUUUCAUUGAUCAAGAACGAAAGUAAGGGGAUCGAAGACGAUCAGAUACCGUCGUAGUCUUUACUAUAAACGAUGAGGACUGGGGAUCGGGCGAGGAAUAUCGA
rnacentral:rRNA from 1 species